rnacentral:rRNA from 1 species
GACGAACGCUGGCGGCGUGCCUAAUACAUGCAAGUUGAGCGCUGAAGGUUGGUACUUGUACCAACUGGAUGAGCAGCGAACGGGUGAGUAACGCGUGGGGAAUCUGCCUUUGAGCGGGGGACAACAUUUGGAAACGAAUGCUAAUACCGCAUAAAAACUUUAAACACAAGUUUUAAGUUUGAAAGAUGCAAUUGCAUCACUCAAAGAUGGUCCCGCGUUGUAUUAGCUAGUUGGUGAGGUAAAGGCUCACCAAGGCGAUGAUACAUAGCCGACCUGAGAGGGUGAUCGGCCACAUUGGGACUGAGACACGGCCCAAACUCCUACGGGAGGCAGCAGUAGGGAAUCUUCGGCAAUGGACGAAAGUCUGACCGAGCAACGCCGCGUGAGUGCAGAAGGUUUUCGGAUCGUAAAACUCUGUUGGUAGAGAAGAACGUUGGUGAGAGUGGAAAGCUCAUCAAGUGACGGUAACUACCCAGAAAGGGACGGCUAACUACGUG